rnacentral:rRNA from 1 species
CUGGUUGAUCCUGCCAGACCCGACUGCUAUCGGAUUGGGACUAAGCCAUGCGAGUCAACUCCGCAAGGGGUGGCGCACGGCUCAGUAACACGUAGUCAACCUACCCUGGGGACGGGGAUAACCUCGGGAAACUGAGGCUAAACCCCGAUGGGCCAUGGCUCCUGGAAUGGGCUAUGGCUGAAAUCUACAUGGCCCCAGGAUGGGACUGCGGCCGAUCAGGUUGUUGGUGGGGUAAUGGCCCACCAAGCCUAUAACCGGUGCGGGCUCUGAGAGGAGGAGCCCGGAGAUAGGCACUGAGACAAGGGCCCAGGUCCUAUGGGGCGCAGCAGGCGCGAAACCUCCGCAAUGGGCGAAAGCCCGACGGGGUCAGUCCGAGUGGUUCCCGCUGAGGGAACCUUUUGCCAGCUGUAAACAGGCUGGCGAAUAAGGGGUGGGCAAGUUUGGUGUCAGCCGCCGCGGUAAUACCAGCACCCCGAGUGGUCGGGACGAUUAUUGGGCCUAAAGCAUCCGUAGCCGGCCCAGUAAGUGCUCCGUUAAAUCCAACGGCUCAACCGUUGGGCUGCGGGGGAUACUGCUGGGCUAGGGGACGGGAGAGGCGAGGGGUAUUCCCGGGGUAGGGGUAAAAUCCACUGAUCCCGGGAGGACCACCAGUGGCGCAGGCGCCUCGCUAGAACGUGCCCGACGGUGAGGGAUGAAAGCUGGGGGAGCGAACCGGAUUAGAUACCCGGGUAGUCCCAGCCGUAAACGAUGUAGGCUCGGUGUUGGGCUGCCUCAGUGGCAGCCCAGUGCCGCAGGGAAGCCGUUAAGCCUACCGCCUGGGGAGUACGGCCGCAAGGCUGAAACUUAAAGGAAUUGGCGGGGGAGCACCAC